rnacentral:rRNA from 1 species
GAUGAACGCUGGCGGCGUGCCUAAUACAUGCAAGUCGAGCGAACAGACGAGGAGCUUGCUCCUCUGACGUUAGCGGCGGACGGGUGAGUAACACGUGGAUAACCUACCUAUAAGACUGGGAUAACUUCGGGAAACCGGCGCUAAUACCGGAUAAUCUAUUGAACCGCAUGGUUCAAUAGUGAAAGACGGCUUUGCUGUCACUUAUAGAUGGAUCCGCGCCGCAUUAGCUAGUUGGUAAGGUAACGGCUUACCAAGGCAACGAUGCGUAGCCGACCUGAGAGGGUGAUCGGCCACACUGGAACUGAGACACGGUCCAGACUCCUACGGGAGGCAGCAGUAGGGAAUCGUCCGCAAUGGGCGAAAGCCUGACGGAGCAACGCCGCGUGAGUGAUGAAGGUCUUCGGAUCGUAAAACUCUGUUAUUAGGGAAGAACAAAUGUGUAAGUAACUAUGCACGUCUUGACGGUACCUAAUCAGAAAGCCACGGCUAACUACGUG